rnacentral:rRNA from 1 species
CGACCGGCAGACGGGUGAGUAACGCGUAUGUAACCUACCCUGUACAGGGGGAUAACCCGGAGAAAUUCGGACUAAUAUCCCAUGGAAAUAUUGGAAGGCAUCUUUUGAUAUUUAAAGUUCCGGCGGUACGGGAUGGGCAUGCGUAACAUUAGCUAGUUGGUAAGGUAACGGCUUACCAAGGCUUUGAUGUUUAGGGGUCCUGAGAGGGUGGUCCCCCACACUGGUACUGAGACACGGACCAGACUCCUACGGGAGGCAGCAGUGAGGAAUAUUGGUCAAUGGGCGCAAGCCUGAACCAGCCAUCCCGCGUGCAGGAAGACGGCGCUAUGCGUUGUAAACUGCUUUUCCAGGGGGAGAAACUUGCGCACGUGUUGCGCAAUUGACGGUACCCUGGGAAUAAGCAUCGGCUAACUCCGUGCCAGCAGCCGCGGUAAUACGGAGGAUGCAAGCGUUAUCCGGAUUCAUUGGGUUUAAAGGGUGCGUAGGCGGACUAUUAAGUCAGUGGUGAAAUCCUGCAGCUUAACUGCAGAACUGCCAUUGAUACUGAUAGCCUUGAGUUUGGUUAAGGUAGGCGGAAUGUGUAAUGUAGCGGUGAAAUGCUUAGAUAUUACACAGAACACCAAUUGCGUAGGCAGCUUACUGAGCCGACACUGACGCUGAGGCACGAAAGCGUGGGGAUCGAACAGGAUUAGAUACCCUGGUAGUCCACGCCGUAAACGAUGAUUACUCGCUGUUGGCGAUACACUGUCAGCGGCUAAGCAAAAGCAAUAAGUAAUCCACCUGGGGAGUACGGCCGCAAGGUUGAAACUCAAAGGAAUUGACGGGGGCCCGCACAAGCGGAGGAACAUGUGGUUUAAUUCGAUGAUACGCGAGGAACCUUACCUGGGCUUAA